GUGGAGGGGCGGGGCGGGGCGGCGCGGCGGGUUCCCCGGCGCGGAGCACGUCGGAGCGAACGCACGAGGCCCUGACGCCGCAUGAGCUCGCUGACCAGCCGAGGCUCCCACCAACCGGGUCCGUAGGGACCCGGGGGCGGGAGGGGAAGGGCCGUCCCCUCCCGGCUUUGAGCAUGGGUCGUUCCCGAGCGCCGCCCGCACGACGGCGGGGUGCCUCGAGGAGCUGCGGAGGCUGAGGACCCGGGAGGGAGUGUCCUGCGGGGGCCCGCAGCCCCAGGGAAUCACCAGGGUCUUGGGACUCGUCGGAUCCCGGAGACUCGAGAUGUGGACUCCAAAGUGUGGCGCGCAAGGAGAAUGUUUAACUUAAUAACUUUUUGCAGCCAAGCUGGGCUUUAGCUGCCCUUUGGUUGAGGGCCACUUCACAAUAACAGCUGCAACUCUUUGGACACCCACUCCACAAACUUCAGGUCUUUCUCAAGGGUAUGGAACCUGGCCGUCACUGUCCUCUGGGGAAGCCUGGACCAGCCCAUCUGAAUGGACCACGUGGACAGGCACAGUGGAUGGGAACUGAGGCUUUUAGAUGACAGCCAGUGUCAACCAGCAGAUUUGGAAGAAGGUGGGCAUUGUCUUUAGAUAAGCCCAUUGCUGAAGAUACUGAUGGUUGAAGAAAGGAAGACGGAAACGAUGAUCACCAAUGAUGUGAAAAGUAGGUAGCGGUUACCACAGAAUUUCAAAUUUUAUGUUAUUUUUCUGGCUCAGAUAAAACAAGUUUAUCAUAUACUUCUCUAAAUUAUGGAAAAUGAAGGCAGUAUCAUAUAGUGUGUCAUUAUUUUAAGAUUGCUCUUUAUAUGGACUCACAAUUACAGAUGGAUACCAUUUUUUAAAAUGCCUUUGAAGAAACUAUUUGCCAUUAAAGCAUGUUACUAGUCUAAUCAACUUAACUAUAAAGUCAAUAUAAUAACUACAUAAUUUUUGAGUUAAAAUUCAUAUAUAUGGCAAUUUAGAUUUUUUUGAAAGUCAAGUAUACUAUUUAUUUUUGUUCCAUUAUUUUAGAAGUGUGAAAAUUAGCUUAAGUAGGGGGAAAGAGGCACACAAAAACACUCUGAACAGGAAGAUUUAAAUUGACUUUCCAAAUUUAUGAACCCCUCAAGUACACAUAUGAAGACCAUUGUGCUGUGUUUAUAGUAUAUCUCAUUGUAUAAAACUGCUGCAUGUAAAUACAGGAAGACAGUUAUUUGACAAUGUCUGAUAUUUUUAAUUAAUUGUGUUGAAUGCCUUGUAGUUUAUUAGUAGUAAAAUACAAAAUAAAAAUGACCUAUAGUUAUUUUAGUUUUAAAUCAGAUCCCUGGAUGACCUUAUCUUUUUUACAUUAUAUUCUUAUUACUCAUAAGUAAAGAGAGAGAUUUGAUUCCUAAUCUUUAUUGGUACAGUUUUGUCAGUUUUGGAGAAUAUCUAGAAUCAAACUGGAGAGUAAAAUUAUGACUUGCUAAAGAUUCAUUUUUUUUGUCUUUGAGUAUUAAUUAUUUCCCAAAUAUUAGGGAUAAAAAUUCCCUUGUUAAAGAAGAAUACACUAAAUGCUACCAGGUCAGUGUGCAAAGUCUGGAAAAAAACCACUAUAGUUUGCAAUAUUUUAGUCUCUCUUCUUAACAUAAUAGAAUAUAAUAAUCAUAAAGUUAUAUUCAAGCUUUAGUUAUUUUUGAAAUUCAUUGUUGUAUCUAAAGUCAUUUAAAGGUUCAAAUGCAUGAUGUAUUGAAAAAACUGAAUACACAUAAUUCUAAUAUUUCCAUUUCAAAAUAUUAUGUUGACAACCUAUAAAAUUUUUGUUCACAUUAUUGUUUACUGAAGUUUUAGAAUAUAAUAUUUUGGUCAUUCAUGAGUUUUUAUGCAAAUGCGAUUUUAUUCAGAGUAGAUGGCACCUUUGUGUUGAAGCCCUUUCCUAAGAGAGUUAUUUAGGAAAAGCCUACCAAACAUAUUCAGGAAGAAUUAAACACGUGUAACUUACUUUAUCACCUGCUUAUCAUUAGGUAGAAACAUAGUUUCUAAAUUAAUGUUAACAGAAAAGUUUGUACUUUAUUUAAGCUUUGAUCUCAUUCUUUAUUUUCACUCUAUUUUUUUAUUAAAGUAGAGUUGUGCCAAUUUCUGCUCUCCAGCAAGGUGACCCAGUCAUACAUACAUAUACAUUCUUGAUGUCAUUUUUAUUUGAAAUAAUCCUGUGUUUUAAUUCUAAAUAUCAGAUUGUAUCAAAGAAAUCUAAUUCCAUGGACAGGGAACCUCCAGUGAUGGUUGGGAUUCUCAUGGUUCUGAGCCCCAAUCCCGCAUUGCUGUGGCUUUGUCUUGGGGCGGCGGCUACAACUCCAAUCAGACCCCUAGCCUGGGAACCUCCGUAUGCUGCGGGUGUGGCCCUGGAAAAAGAAAAAAAAAAAUUUUGUUCUCUAUUACAACACUACUCAUGAAGUACUCUAGUAUUAUUUGAAAGUUGACUGAGAUGGGCUGUAAAUGUGUAUUUACAAACUCCAGUGCAACCACUUAGUAUAUAUAUUGGAGAUAGAGAUAUUUUAUAAAAUACUUAAUGAGAAAAUGGGAUCAUAUAUAAUAUUCCUUUAAAAUCACA
rnacentral:lncRNA from 1 species